CAAGAGCGUAUGUAAAAGUUGUUGCAGUUAAAAAGCUCGUAGUUGAACCUUGGGUUUGGUUGGCCGGUCCGCUUUUUUGCGAGUACUGGAUUCAACCGAGCCUUUCCUUCUGGCUAACCAGUCGUUUCGGCGGCUGGCGAACCAGGAUUUUUACUUUGAGAAAAUUAGAGUGUUCAAAGCAGGCAUUAGCUUGAAUAUAUUAGCAUGGAAUAAUAGAAUAGGACGUUAUGGUUCUAUUUUGUUGGUUUCUAGGACCAUCGUAAUGAUUAAUAGGGACGGUCGGGGGCAUCAGUAUUCAGUUGACAGAGGUGAAAUUCUUGGAUUUACUGAAGACUAACUACUGCGAAAGCAUUUGCCAAGGACGUUUUCAUUAA
rnacentral:rRNA from 1 species